GACGAACGCUGGCGGCGUGCUUAACACAUGCAAGUCGAACGGAAAGGCCCUGCUUUUGUGGGGUGCUCGAGUGGCGAACGGGUGAGUAACACGUGAGUAACCUGCCCUUGACUUUGGGAUAACUUCAGGAAACUGGGGCUAAUACCGGAUAGGAGCUCCUGCUGCAUGGUGGGGGUUGGAAAGUUUCGGCGGUUGGGGAUGGACUCGCGGCUUAUCAGCUUGUUGGUGGGGUAGUGGCUUACCAAGGCUUUGACGGGUAGCCGGCCUGAGAGGGUGACCGGCCACAUUGGGACUGAGAUACGGCCCAGACUCCUACGGGAGGCAGCAGUGGGGAAUAUUGCGCAAUGGGCGGAAGCCUGAUGCAGCAACGCCGCGUGCGGGAUGACGGCCUUCGGGUUGUAAACCGCUUUCGCCUGUGACGAAGCGUGAGUGACGGUAAUGGGUAAAGAAGCACGGGCUAGCUACGUG
rnacentral:rRNA from 1 species